GAUGAAGAACGUAGCGAAAUGCGAUAAGUAAUGUGAAUUGCAGAAUUCAGUGAAUCAUCGAAUCUUUGAUCGCACAUUGCGCCCGCCAGCACUCUGGCGGGCAUGCCUGUCCGAGCGUCAUUUCAACCCUCGCGCCGUCCCUCCAGGGGGCUCGGCGCGGUGUUGGGGGACACGGCCCCGGCCGCCCCCGAAAUGCAGUGGCGACCCCGCCGCGGCCCCUCCAGCGCAGUAAGUACGCUCGCUACGGGAGGCCCGGUGGACGCGUCCGCCGUAAAACGCCCAACUCUUCAGAAGUUGACCUCGGAUCAGGUAGGGAUACCCGCUGAACUUAAGCAUAUCAAUAAGCGGAGGA
rnacentral:misc_RNA from 1 species